rnacentral:lncRNA from 1 species
GUUUGAGAGCCGCUCUGGAUGGGCUCGCUAGAGUCGUUGUUGUGGAAGCGGUGCAUUUACAGUGCAACAGUCAGCACAUUGAAAAUACCAAUAGGAAUACAAAACAAAGUCACAUUUACUGAUUUAAUUGUAUUGCAUUCAGUUGUAUCCAGGAAACAGCCUCCAACCAUGGACCCGCACAGCGGCCGCUGGCUCGGUGCGCGGCCGCCCGCCGAGAAGCCCAGUCCUCCCGCGUGCUGACCGGCCCCGCCGCCACCACCGCCUGUGACCCCGGACGCCGCCGCCUCUGCGCCGCCCGCGCGCCGAGCCGCCCCCGGGCCCCGGCCGCGCUGCUCCGAGGAAGCGGCGGCGGACCGGGGCCGGGGCCCGGCAUGGAUGGCCGCGACUUUGCGCCGCCGCCGCAUCUGCUGUCGGAGCGCGGGAGCCUGGGCCACCGCAGCGCCGCUGCCGCCGCGCGUCUCGCCCCGGCUGGGCCCGCCGCGCAGCCCCCCGCACACUUCCAGCCGGGAAAGUACUUCCCGUCGCCGUUGCCCAUGGCUUCGCACACAGAUUUGUAACUGGAAAGAGAAGGAGAAAAAGCACUUGCCUGAGCGAUGGGUGAUUUAAAAAUAUCUCUUCUGCUGUCCCUGUGGUUAUCAAGCUUGUCUUCCUGCCCCUGCAUGGGAGCUGCUGCCCACCCGGCUCAGGUGCACGGGGCGCUGAGGCUGGGGCCGCCCUGGCAGAAGGGACAGCUCGCCAGCCUCCCCACCAGCCCCUCUUCUGGCUGAAGGCUGGUGGCCCCCACUGGGGGUAGGGGGAUUGUGUGCACCCCACCUCCACUGUACCGUGCCCUCCAGCCUGGCAAGUAACAGCACGACAGAGACAGGGGCCCCUGACACUGAGGCUUGCAUGUUGGUGCACAGGCAGGCUGGGGCUGUCCCCUCCGGGAGGCAAGGCCAAAUUCCCCAUCAGGUCAGGUCAGCACUCUCCCUGACCCCAUGCCCCAGCUCACAUCCUGGCCAGGUCCAGGCCAGCUGCAUUCUCCCCCUUCUGCCCUUACUUCCAGGUCUAGGCAGCACCCGGGUAGGUGGGCGCCUGGUCGGGUGGCCUAGCCCUUUGUCUUGCUCAUUCUAAGUUUGGCCACGUGGUUCUUGGCGUGUAGGCCCCGGAGGGCUGUGAGAAACGGCUCUGGGCUCUGGCCUGGCCUGUGUCCUCCCUGCUUCUUCUUGAUCCCAGGUCCUCCCAGCCUCCCCAAGCGCAGGGUGCUCUAGAGGGCGCUGGAGGCCCCUCGGGGCUGCCUCUUUCAGGGUCUGAAGGGUCAUGUGUCCCCGUCCCUGGAGGCCCCAUUUCCUCCCCCCUGCGGACCGAAGAGAACGCUUGUGCUCGGAGAUGUUCAACCCAUUUGUGAUGGGCAACUUGGUCAUGCAGACAUCCAGCUAGAAGCAUCUGUAGCUGAAAGAAAGCCUUUUGAAAUUGUUAAGAGCCAGAAUAUUGUAUUGGUUUUUAAAAUUUAGCUGCAUGUAUUUUUUUAAAAAAAGAAUUAUACCCC